UAUGGUCUGAAAUAUGCCACGUCAUUUAAAAGACACUAACCUAACAUUUCACAGAGAGCCAUGGGCAAACAAACGUUAGUUUCACCGUGUUCUUUCUUUUGACUCUUGGCUCUCUCACUCAUCUCAAUUUCUUUCUCACUCUCAACAAAGUCCAGCCAUGGCCGACCUUUCCUUGCAUGCACAUCACCUCCAUUGACAGAUCUUAUGACCGGAAUCACCCCGAAUAUCUAAUGAUGGUAUUGAUGAUGAGAGCUACCAGUCAUUGUUUAAGCCAAUAAUAGAUAAGCUGCACCAAGUGCCCAGUUCCAAGAGCACCCACCUGAUACACAGCUUCUCGAGGAUGAUGAAGAUCAAGAUGGUGGAGAUGAUAGAUGGAAUCCUGAAUUCCUAAUUUUGACAUAUUGAUAUGCUAUGAGGCAUAUUGAUAUUUUUUGUAUCUAACAUGCCUUCUUUCUUAUUUUCUCCUUUAUGUAGGGCACCAUUUUGGCAUAAUUGUUGGGGAGUCAAGCCAUCAGAAAUUGUCUGAAUCUGCAAAAUCUUCUCAAAAAGUAGAUCUUCAAGGAUGCAAGACUUUCUUCUUCUUUUUCUUGCCCAAUUUUUUAUGAGAAUCAUGUAUUAUAGUGGUGAAAGUUGUUUAUUGUCAACAAUCAUGUUGUUAUGGUUUCAAUAGAACUCUUGUUAUCAUGGAUUCAUGGUCUUGUGAUCAAAAUGUUCAUUUUAAUAAACUUUUGUUCAUUUUUGGAUCACUCAUUGCCUAGGUAGAUUUUCAAUGAAGAUUCUUAAAUUCAAAA